ACCUCUUCCCAUUCCGAACAGAGAAGUUAAACCUUAUAACGCCGAUGGUACUGCGAAAGCGGAAGAGUAGGUAAUCGCCACCU
rnacentral:rRNA from 1 species